UGCAGCCUGGGCACAGCAUUGGCGUCCCUGGAGUUGGCUCCCCAGCAGGGCCAGGAGGGUGAGUGGAGAGCAACUGCUUCGUUUUUUUUGAGACGGAGUCUCGCUCUGUUGCCAGGCUGGAGUGCGGUGGCCCAAUCUUGGCUCACUGCAACCUCCGACUCCCUGGUUCAAGCAAUUCUCCUGCCUCAGCCUCCUGAGUAGCUGGGAUUAUAGGCAUCCACAACCACGCCCUGCUAAUUUUUUGUAUUUUUAGUAGAGAUG
rnacentral:lncRNA from 1 species